UACGUAGGGGGCAAGCGUUGUCCGGAAUUAUUGGGCGUAAAGAGCGUGUAGGCGGCCAGAUAAGUCCGCUGUGAAAUCUCGAGGCUCAACUUCGAGCUGUCGGUGGAAACUAUCUGGCUAGAGUCCGGAAGAGGAGAAUGGAAUUCCUGGUGUAGCGGUGAAAUGCGCAGAUAUCAGGAAGAACACCCGUGGCGAAGGCGGUUCUCUGGGACGGUACUGACGCUGGAGAACGCGAAAGCGUGGGGAGCGAACAGG
rnacentral:rRNA from 1 species